AGUCAACAGUUGUGAAAACCAAUAACAGAUGUUAUAUUUGUGCCAUCGUCAACCUUGUUGGUCAAUGCUCCAUUUAUUAUGGCUCAAAGGCAACUCUAAACCUGUGGGCUUUCUAGUCUUGAUUUAAAUGAACUCAGCGUUCCGGCUGUUCUACAAUUUUCUGGAAGUUUGUUUCAGAUUCGAGGCUCAUAGAAGCUGGAUGCCGCCUCUAAGAUCACUCUCUGCUGAUAGUCGUAAACAAUCAGGUUAGGAGCUGCUGAACGGCUCCGGGCUGCUUGGCUCAGCAGAUUGCGAUUGCCGAACUCGUUACAGAUCUGGCAGAACGAAUGUUAACUUUGAUGCCCCCCGGCCAUCAGCUGCUGAACGAGGAGAGAAUAAAGAGCGAAUGGCUCUCCAAGGUGUUCUGAAAGUGGUGACGAAGCAGCUGCAUCUAGGUCGUGGUCGUUAGGGAUCAGACAGAUGUGCAACCGGGAACUCGUCAAGGGAUUGGUGGCAGCAAUGUUAGCGUCGCACCUUGGCCAAACCUCCUCCACCCACAAGCUAAGCAUCUGCCGGGAUUUAGACGGAUUGGAUUGUGGCCAUGCGCUUCACCCACAUGCUCAUUUUGACUGAUGUCUUUUCAAAGUUUAGCCAGGCUGCUGGAGGGAGAAAACCCCAAAACAAAACAAGAGAGCCUCUACCAUAACCAACGCCUCCUAUAAACGGUCUUGUUAAGAGUCUCUGCUGAAACUUUGACAGUGCUGUCGUACAUCGGCCAUCAGACUGUUCAGGUCGUUUUGACACGAGGCUUUCUGAAGUUACUUGCGUUUCAAAACUCCAAUCAUCAUCGCACUGCGUAAAUGUUAGUGAUGAAGGAGGAAGCAGCUAAAUUAGUGCACUAUUUUUCAUAUUGGGUGAAUUAUAUUCUAACUGGAGUUAGCAUCUGUAUAUCUCUAAAAUGUGUAAAUGCAAAUGCUGCUGCAGCAUUUUCACUGACUGAAACAUGACUGACAGACGUUGAAAUAAACCCUUUAGCUGUCCACUCACUGCUAACGGCGGCCAUGUUGGAUUUUGACGUCAGACCAGGUGAGUAACCUCAAAGUUUUCUAUUCUGACUCCAGGCGUGUCCCAGUUGUCUUCGCUAACUUGGAAAUCCAAAAGUCCAACUUCUGAAAACGACUUGAACACAACAGGAUUUUUUUCCUGUAUGCCAGUCAGGAUAAAGUCGGGUUUUUAAUGCUUUAUAAAACCGUAGUGGCAGAAAUGUUUAAGCCUGUUUAAACGGCUUACAGCUACUUACUGGAGCCCUGUUUCCAAGAAACGUGAGGAAGCGUCAUAACAGAAACUAAAUCCUCCGUUUUAUGAAGCAGAACUGAACAGAACAGACGUUGGACCGGGUCAGAACAGCAGCUGACCUGCAAGUUUUAUCUGAUCUGAUGUGGAGGAAUAAAGAAGGAGUAAAUACCUAAUAAGUAACACCUAAUAAGAAAAUUCAGAUAUUAUUCAGAAACGAUUACUGCAUAAGAACGGGGGGGAAAAUAGCAAACCCAGUAUGUUGGAAAAAACCCUUUGUUUUUCAUUUAUUGCAGUUAAUAAUUGAGAAUCCCAGAAUAAAUCGGGACACUGAAGAUGAACUGCUGUGAUAAAAAGUUUUAAAGUUCAGAAGCGAGAACGUUUUGUCCCACUGACGCGCAAAAAGCUUUUUGAAUUUUCCAGACACACAAAACCACAUUUUAUAGCAUGCUACCAUGAGAUGCUAUGAAAAAUGCCAAACAUAAAUCAAUCAUGACUUGAAGGAAAUUUUAUUUCACAAUUUAACGCCUUGAAAUUGGGCCUCCGUCUCUUUAAGAAACUCUUGCUCUUUCCGACACUCCGCCUUCAGGGCGUCAUGACGACCUUUCCACACUGACCCUUUAACGCUGGUUUUACCACAGUUUCAAGCAGCAGUGCUGUUCCACCAGGUGUUUGCUAACAGCUGCUGCCGCUAGUCUGGAGGAGCUGAGCUUGGUAAGCUAAAGUCACAAAAUAAAUUCACAAAAAUUAUCGCAAUGACGCAAAAUUUCAUCUUGCAGGAUUUAUUCUUUCCUGAUCCCAGUGUUAAUGUUGAGAAGAGGAACCCGCAGCCUUUAACUGACGGGCUUGAGGAUUUAGCAGAACUAGAGUGGAUUGUUGCACACAAUUAGUCUGAGAAAAAACUGACAACCUUAUUUGCAUUUUUCCCUGGUAACCAGUGUUUUUGCACUCAGAAUUCCCUAAAUGUCAUUUUCUGCUUAUUGAAUAUUAAAUACAUGUCUGUGUUUCCUCUCAGAUAAAGAACGAUCCCAGAGUAAUUACUAAGGUAUUAAUCAUCCUCGUACGCCACAAAACCCCCGACGGAUCUCCGUGUCCUGCCGAGAUUUUCCCCUGAGAGGUCGGAUCCAUUCAGAAGAACUUGAGAGAGCUGCAGGGUAAGAUGCUUUGCUGCAGUGAUAUUUGCAGAUCUCUAAACAAGAGGAGCGACGAACGACGGAGAAGGUUGUCCAUCACUCUGGAUGAGCAAAGCACGGGUCAGCAACGGCAGCGAGAAAACGUGAACGUUCAAGAGGAGCCAUGCUGAGAGACAGCAGCUCCUUAAAGAGACAGAGGCCCAAUUUCAAGGUGUUACAUUUCAAAGUCAAAUUUCUUUUAAGUUAUUUUUGAUACGUGACGCAAAAGUUACCUUCAGUUUGUCUAAAAACUGAAGGUAAACUCAGUAACUUUAUUGUGCUGUAAGAUGAUUCUGUGUGGCUGGAAAACACAUUUUCCCUUUCAAGAGCUCCAUCCUCACAUCUUCCUGUCUCAAGUUUCACACAGACGAUUCUGAGGCUCCUCCGGCGGAUUCCCCAAAGCGCUGACGUUAUUGAAUGUGAAGUGCCAUGCGGAAGUCCAUUCAGUCCGAAGCAUCGGAGCCGAAGACUUUUGGCUCGAAGCUGUUAUUAUUUUAGCUCCAGUGUUGUUGCUGGAAGGUGACUCAUCUCCCCCGGCAACCGGCUGGUGCAGUCGGGAGCACAAGCACCAACCCGGCCUGCAGGGACCUCUGCUGUUCCCUCCCAACCCGCUUUCAUCCAUUAAUGACGACGUUAAUCCCUGUUGUGUUUGUGACACAAAUCAUCCAAAGUUAAAGCCCAGUUAUUUUGGACCAGUGGUGUCCUGAGUGCAGCCCGGGGGCCGUUUGCAGCAAAUUUGAGAAGGUUAUAAAUUUGGAGUUGAUGAAAGAUGGUGGAAAAAAUUUUCAUUUAGAUGAACACGCUUGGCUAAUUAUUAGCUUAGGUUUGUUUGUUUGUUUUAUUUUUAGACUGAACAGUUAACCUGGUGAAAGAAAAUUGUUCCAAUAUGUGUCCAACAUGGGAUUUUCAUUAAUAAUUAUAUUCAUUAAAGGAAUUAUUGCAUAAUUAGUACAUAAUAAAAGGUAUCAUGUACGUUUUAUUGCAUAUUGUGGCAUUUUGUGGCUCAGUUCCAGCAGAUGUCUGCUAAUUGCUGCUGGCUAGUCCAGGGAGGAUCUUCGUCCUCGAAGGCGGAGCCAAGUCCACCCAGGCAUUUUGUACAGCUGAAUGGUUGCCAUGGAGAUUGAAGGAUUUCUCAAAGAUGCAUGAGAGAAUCAACGCAACAAUCCAGCUGAACUUCGCCAGCAGCUCGGAUUGCACCGCGCCGUCCGCCCGCUUCCUCCAUGCAGCCCAAAGCUGAACGGCUCCUGCCGGCGAUAAAGACGCUGCAGGGCGCGACCCAAAACCAACGCCACCAAACCCAGGGGCUUCCUGUUGGUGGCGUCUGGAGCGCCGCCACUUUCAGCUCAUUUUCUCUCUGGAAGCUGCUGGAUGAUCGUCGUUUCGCCGCAUCAGCAGCUUUGGAGCUGUCAGGUGUGAGGACAUCAGCUAGACAGGUUUUCAUUUGAAUGAUUAGGGAAGUAGCAAAAAAGAAAGUCACAUGUUUAAAAUACCCGAAAAUGCAACGUAACUGGAGCAUUUUCAAUUCAAACCUUUUUUUUUUUUUUUUUUUUUACAAACCUGCAGCAUGUAAAUUUUACAGCAUGACAAAGUCUAGCUAGAAUCAAGAAAUUUUCUAGAAAAAGCCUUGGAAAUUUUGAGAAAUUAAAAAUUUGCUAGAAAACAAUAAACAUCAAUUUUGGGAGUGGGUGCAGAAUUCUUUUGGGGGAAAAAGUAAUUCUUUUUAGAAAUAAAAUCACAAUUUUCCUAAAAAAAACAAAAACUUACUGCUAAAAGGAUUUCUGGGUAUAAUGGUUAGGGGGGCCAGGGUCCGAAUAUUCAGAAUAUUUCUUUUUUUUUUUUUUGUAAAUUCUGAGUUUAAUUAUUGUUAUUCUUUGGUUUCCUGGGUUUAAUGUUGACAAUUUACAAAAAUAAA